UACGAAGGGGGCUAGCGUUGCUCGGAAUUACUGGGCGUAAAGGGCGCGUAGGCGGGUCGUUUAGUUAGAGGUGAAAGCCCAGGGCUCAACCCUGGAAUUGCCUUUAAUACUGGCGGCCUUGAGUAUGGCAGAGGUGUGUGGAACUCCGAGUGUAGAGGUGAAAUUCGUAGAUAUUCGGAAGAACACCAGUGGCGAAGGCGUCACACUGGGCCAUUACUGACGCUGAGGCGCGAAAGCGUGGGGAGCAAACAGG
rnacentral:rRNA from 1 species